GCUUACGGCCAUACCACCUUAGGCACGCCCGAUCUCGUCUGAUCUCGGAAGCUAAGCAGGGUCGGGCCUGGUUAGUACUUGGAUGGGUGACCGCCUGGGAAUACCUGGUGCUGUAUGCA
rnacentral:rRNA from 1 species